rnacentral:rRNA from 1 species
UUUAAAUUUAGAGUUUGAUCCUGGCUCAGGACGAACGCUGGCGGCGUGCUUAACACAUGCAAGUCGAGCGAUGAAGCUUCCUUCGGAAGUGGAUUAGCGGCGGACGGGUGAGUAACACGUGGGUAACCUGCCUCAAAGUGGGGGAUAGCCUUCCGAAAGGAAGAUUAAUACCGCAUAAUAUAAGAGAAUCGCAUGAUUUUCUUAUCAAAGAUUUAUUGCUUUGAGAUGGGCCCGCGGCGCAUUAGCUAGUUGGUAAGGUAACGGCUUACCAAGGCAACGAUGCGUAGCCGACCUGAGAGGGUGAUCGGCCACAUUGGAACUGAGACACGGUCCAGACUCCUACGGGAGGCAGCAGUG